CAGGGCCGCGCGGGUCACGUGACGCCACGUGCGUCUGCCAGCGGGCGGCCGGAGGAUGCAGGCGGGAGCGUGCGCGGCUGCACCCGUGGGUGGCAGUUCGGGUGAGGCUGCUCCUGGGGGUCGUGGCCAUCCAGUGCCAUCAAGGGUCCCAGGUGGUGCCUGCCAUCUACUGAGGCCAGGUGGACGGCCCUCUACUGCUCCGCAACAGAUGAUCUGUAAGAUGGCCUGGUCAAGGCUUCUAGCAGAUUCGGAUCUCUCUCUUCAGUCCAAGUGCAAAUGCUGAACACACCAGUCUCCUGGGGCUGCCGUCGGGACACUUGUCGGGUGCCUUUUCUGUGAUGCAGCCACUGCAUUGUGAGUGCCUUCUGGCUCCCCUUGUGUCACCUGGUGGGAGAUGGGGCUGGUGGAGAACGCUGGUGCUCUGUCUACCUACUGCUGUGCUUCAGCAGCAGAAAUCCCAGGAUGUGAGAGCUGGAAGACACCUGAGAGAUGAUCCCUUCCGUGGGUGACAGGUUCUUCUGGGGACUCUGCAGUGAUGAGCAAGUGGGAACUGAGGUGGUUGCCUGCCCACAUUGACACACCUGGUGAAGGUGCAGCAGAAUUUGAACCCAGGCCUUUGCACCACAGCUCUCUGAGCAGGUUUGGGUGCCAUGUUGUCUGCUUCCAGAACAAGGAUCUUCACUGUACAUCAGGACCCAGGCCCCUCUGACAUCUCCUGAAUGAGAAACAAGGGAUAUUUAAUAAAACGGUGUAAAAUUUGUAGUUCA